rnacentral:rRNA from 1 species
AGGACGAACGCUGGCGGCGUGCUUAACACAUGCAAGUGGAGCGACGAACCAGGGCUUGCCCUGGGGCAGAGCCGCGAACGGGUGAGUAACACGUGGGCAACCUGCCCCUAGCACUGGGAUAACCCCGGGAAACCGGGGCUAAUACCGGAUACGACUUCGGAAGGCAUCUUCUGAAGUGGAAAAGGUUACUGGCUAGGGAUGGGCCCGCGGCCUAUCAGCUUGUUGGUGGGGUAAUGGCCCACCAAGGCGACGACGGGUAGCCGGCCUGAGAGGGCGACCGGCCACACUGGGACUGAGACACGGCCCAGACUCCUACGGGAGGCAGCAGUGGGGAAUAUUGCACAAUGGGCGAAAGCCUGAUGCAGCGACGCCGCGUGAGGGAUGACGGCCUUCGGGUUGUAAACCUCUUUCAGCAGGGACGAAGCGAAAGUGACGGUACCUGCAGAAGAAGCACCGGCCAACUACGUGCCAGCAGCCGC